GGCAGCUCUAGGGUGAUGCACCCCAGAAUCGGGCUCCCUCCUCUCUGGUUCCCGGUCUGUUAACCAAGAACUACA
rfam:Myotis lucifugus cont2.12209, whole genome shotgun sequence.